UUAAGUUGCAGGGUAUAGACCCGAAACCCGGUGAUCUAGCCAUGGGCAGGUUGAAGGUUGGGUAACACUAACUGGAGGACCGAACCGACUAAUGUUGAAAAAUUAGCGGAUGACCUGUGGCUGGGGGUGAAAGGCCAAUCAAACCGGGAGAUAGCUGGUUCUCCCCGAAAGCUAUUUAGGUAGCGCCUCGUGAAUUCAUCUCCGGGGGUAGAGCACUGUUUCGGCUAGGGGGCCAUCCCGGCUUACCAACCCGAUGCAAACUGCGAAUACCGGAGAAUGUUAUCACGGGAGACACACGGCGGGUGCUAACGUCCGUCGUGAAGAGGGAAACAACCCAGACCGCCAGCUAAGGUCCCAAAGUCAUGGUUAAGUGGGAAACGAUGUGGGAAGGCCCAGACAGCCAGGAUGUUGGCUUAGAAGCAGCCAUCAUUUAAAGAAAGCGUAAUAGCUCACUGGUCGAGUCGGCCUGCGCGGAAGAUGUAACGGGGCUAAACCAUGCACCGAAGCUGCGGCAGCGACGCUUAUGCGU
rnacentral:rRNA from 1 species